UGGCGGGCGGGGGAGUAAUGUCUGGGAAACUGCCUGAUGGAGGGGGAUAACUACUGGAAACGGUAGCUAAUACCGCAUAACGUCGCAAGACCAAAGAGGGGGACCUUCGGGCCUCUUGCCAUCGGAUGUGCCCAGAUGGGAUUAGCUAGUAGGUGGGGUAACGGCUCACCUAGGCGACGAUCCCUAGCUGGUCUGAGAGGAUGACCAGCCACACUGGAACUGAGACACGGUCCAG
rnacentral:rRNA from 1 species